CACGUAGGGCGCGAGCGUUUGUCCGGAAUUAUUGGGCGUAAAGAGCUCGUAGGCGGUCUGUCGCGUCGGCUGUGAAAACCCGGGGCUCAACCCCCGGGCCUGCAGUCGAUACGGGGCAGACUAGAGUGCGGUAGGGGGAGACUGGAAUUCCUGGUGUAGCGGUGAAAUGCGCAGAUAUCAGGAGGAACACCGGUGGCGAAGGCGGGGUCUCUGGGCCGUAACUGACGCUGAGGAGCGAAAAGCGUGGGGGAGCGAACAGG
rnacentral:rRNA from 1 species